UUGCUAAGCUAUUACAGUCACCACCCGCCCCCUGUUAACAUUCGGAAAAUCAAGGCUGUUACUCUUCAGAAUUGUCAGGUUAGAUAGUAUGGAAAACAACAACAACAAAGACAAAUGAGAACUUCACAUAUCAUGCAAAUGAAAACAUUGAAACUGAAACCGAACUUGUAUGUCUUUUUAUUUGUCAGAUGGUGGUAUUCGCCAGCCUGUAUCUAGUCUGAGACUACAUUAGUAUCUGAGCAGGCUUUCUAGGCCUGCUGACCUCAGCCUGUUUAUAUCAGCCUUUAUACUCUGUCCAUAACCCCUCAUCUGCCAGAAAACUUGAAGAGUUUAUUACCUGUAGAGUUGUAAGACUUUGGUUUUUGAAGUUGGGAUUGUAUUUAAAACUAGAUUUAAUUAGUCUGUAAUGAAUAUGAAGACUUUAAAUGUGAAAUUGUAUGCUUUUUUGGUUUAGAGUAUUAUGAGAAGCCUGGUAAGCAAAUUUUACUCCAAGAUAAUUGCUGCCAAAUUUGAAGAGGUGGUCAUGGAGAGAACAGUAGGUCUAAAAGCAAUCUGAAAGGUAGGAAAUUUUACCCUCAAAAGUGUAAUGUCGCUUUGGGAAGCUCCUGUAAAUAUUCAGACUUGUUUGAUCUCUUACACUGAGAGAUUUGAGGGCAGUUGGUACAAUAUUUUGAUGCCCUCACCACUGCCUCUUCUCCCCACCCUUCAAAAUAAGUACGAUCCACGGUAGCAGCCACGCUUCAUUUCGAAGGAACUGUUUUAAUUUAUUUAAAAGUUUAAAAACCCUCUAAGAUAACUAAAACUUCCUUUUUUCCCUCCCCAUCCACCUAAUUUCUCCUUUAACAACAUUUUUAUCUCUAUCUUUACUUCCCUCCAUUAGUACUUUGAAAAACAACAUUUUGUCAAACAUUUCCCUACGUAAAGCUAGAUGGGAAAGCUCGGUCUUGUUCUUCAUGCAAUAACAGACUUCCUGUUGGUUUACCACUUGCCGUGUCCUUUUUAUUAUUAAUAUUCCAAAUAUCCUUUUCUUGGCUUUUUUCCACCUCCUGUUUUACCUUGGGUCAUUUGCUACUAGAAAUUUGAACGGUAUAUUUCAAAUAACUUAGUUCCUGUGGCUUCAUGACUUCAGUCCUCAUGACAGUCUCAAAAUACUUUGCUCCCUUUUUCUGUUCAUGGGACAUGAUACCUAAGCAAGUAGGAACUGGGUUUGGUGUUUCUCUUAAUAAAUAAUGCUCAAUACUUACCUAAUCAAAUGGCAUCCAUUUGAAUAAAGUGACAAUAACUAAAGCUAGUUAAUGUCAGUGACAUUAAACUAACUCCAGAAUUCAGGAGUUUUAACGUUAGAAUUUAGAGUUAGCAGAUAGAGUGCGGCUUCAUUUCCCCAUGGUGGCCCGUCUCUCCUGAUCCCUUUUAUAGUCUGUCUUCCUGCCUUCGAAGGUGAUGACAGCAGUACCCUAUUAGCUUCUGUUCUCUUGAGCACUUGGUUUGUUGGUUAGCUGUUUCAGUCUUGAGACUAUCUAUUUAGCUUCUGUUUUAUGUUACAAAGGUAGCAUUGGUGUUGGGGGUUUUUUCUCUUUUUGUGUUUGAAGUUUCUGUUUUCUGAGUAAAGCUUAUCUUAUUUUUGAUUAAUAUUCAAUGGCACAGAAAAAGUACACCAAAAGCCUUUUUUUUCCAAAAUUCAUUAGUUAGCACUUAAAUGAGAAUAACUUGUGAAUCAUUAAUCUUAAUACUCUUGAGGAUUUGUUACCCUUGUGCAUAUAAGGUUAAUUAGUGAGUUUUACUGCCAGGCUGUUUUUUUCUCUGUACCAUUGGGAAGUUUUAGAAACUUCUGCCCAUGAUCUGGUGAUGAUCUGAUGCUUUAUAAUUAAGGAGCUACUGUUGCCUCCAGGAAACUAAAGUAUUUCAUCAAGGUUUUUUUUUUUUCCAGUUUUUUGCUUUGUUUUUCCCUCUUUUCUUUGCUCCUCAUGUUUGUUCUUCAAACCAGGGUUUUGGAGGUAUGCAUGCAAGCCUAUAAAUGAAGACCACAGCUCUUCACGUGUGUAGCAUGUGUAUUAUUGUCUAGCUACAUCUGCAAAAAACUUCCUUUACAGAGGUUUGGACUAACGUUUCACAUGCACAUUUCAAAACAAAAUGCUUCAAUAAACAGCCCUUUUACCUGCUGAGAAGAGAAGUGGGCUGUGCUUGUCCCCCUGACAGCUAGUAUUUGUUUUGGAAGUGAAUUUAGUAUGUUACACAAUAUUAUGACUAGAAGUGUGCAAGAAAUAAAGCAAAAGAAACUUCUGUUUUCAUGAAAAUAUUUUUCAUGAAUCAUUGCUCUCAAAUGAAAAUAUAAAAUUUCUGAAUAUCAUAUUGUCUGCGGCACUACCUGGUUUUUAAAUGUGUAGUAGUCAUUGAAAAGAAACUAAAUUUCUCCUUCCACUUGGUAUUUCAAGAAAAUUGAAAAUAUCCCAAGUAAAAAUGAUUUAUAUUUAAAAGUGACUAUUUGCACAAGUAAAAAUCUGAUUUUGUGUGCCUGAGAAGAAUGUCUUGGUUAUGUGCAGGGAGCCAUCUCAAUGCACUGUUUUUCCUAUUGGGAAUGACAAACAAGCUGACACUAUUGUCUUUGAUUAAAAAAAAAGAAAUCACAAUGUUGAUACGAUCGAGGUGUAACCACUAUCAAUAUUUAGAAGUUUAAAAAGACCAUAAGCUAGCAUUGGAAGGAACACCAUGGUAGACUUUUUUGUAAAUUUAUUUUGUAUUUAAUUAAAUGCAGUAUAAAGGCUGGUGAAGUGUAAUAUAAUUGUGUAAACAAAUCCUGUUAAUAGAGAGAUGUACAGAUUCGUUUUGUACUGUAUCUUGAAACUUGUGAAAUAAAGAUUCCACCUCUGGUUAUCCUGUAUCCUAUAAUAUUAGUCCCACAAC